GACGAACGCUGGCGGCGUGCUUAACACAUGCAAGUCGAACGGUAAGGCCCUUCGGGGUACACGAGUGGCGAACGGGUGAGUAACACGUGGGUGAUCUGCCCUGCACUUCGGGAUAAGCUUGGGAAACUGGGUCUAAUACCGGAUAGGACCACUGCCUACAUGGGUGGUGGUGGAAAGCUUUUGCGGUGUGGGAUGGGCGCGCGGCCUAUCAGCUUGUUGGUGGGGUGAUGGCCUACCAAGGCGACGACGGGUAGCCGGCCUGAGAGGGUGACCGGCCACACUGGGACUGAGAUACGGCCCAGGCUCCUACGGGAGGCAGCAGUGGGGAAUAUUGCACAAUGGGCGCAAGCCUGAUGCAGCGACGCCGCGUGAGGGAUGACGGCCUUCGGGUUGUAAACCUCUUUCAGCACCGACGAAGCGCAAGUGACGGUAGGUGCAGAAGAAGGACCGGUCAACUACGUGCCAGCCGCCGCAGUAA
rnacentral:rRNA from 1 species